AGUGAACGCUGGCGGUAGGCCUAACACAUGCAAGUCGAACGGCAGCACAGUAAGAGCUUGCUCUUACGGGUGGCGAGUGGCGGACGGGUGAGGAAUACAUCGGAAUCUACUUUUUCGUGGGGGAUAACGUAGGGAAACUUACGCUAAUACCGCAUACGACCUACGGGUGAAAGCAGGGGAUCUUCGGACCUUGCGCGAUUGAAUGAGCCGAUGUCGGGUUAGCUAGUUGGCGGGGUAAAGGCCCACCAAGGCGACGAUCCGUAGCUGGUCUGAGAGGAUGGUCAGCCACACUGGAACUGAGACACGGUCCAGACUCCUACGGGAGGCAGCAGUGGGGAAUAUUGGACAAUGGGCGCAAGCCUGAUCCAGCCAUACCGCGUGGGUGAAGAAGGCCUUCGGGUUGUAAAGCCCUUUUGUUGGGAAAGAAAAGCAGCAGGUUAAUACCCCGCUGUUCUGACGGUACCCAAAGAAUAAGCACCGGCUAACUUCGUG
rnacentral:rRNA from 1 species